CUCACCUUAUUGUUUUAUAAAAGAAAAAACUGAGGCCCAUGGGGAUAAGGAAGGGGUUGAUUUACUAGAGUGGAUAGCAAAGACUGAAGUCAGAUCUCCUGUCAUCUCUAAAAUAGACUUGCAAACAUCUCUGUGUUGCUGAGAAGAUUAGAAGUAGCAUAAGUCAACCCCUAGACCUAGGCUUGGCCCAGAGAAGGUGCUGAGAAGAGGCUAGCUCCUCUCUACCACAGAGGCAAAGGCAGGGCUGUGCACUUGGUGAACCCAACCCAGUGGCUGCCCAGGGCGGGACAUGAAUGGAGAAGAUGCAGCUCCUCUGACCUGGCGGCACCGGGGUCUCUCAGCUACGGACCAAGUCCUCCUGGGGCCAGGAACCUGUCCAGAUUUGCCUGCUGUUCCAUCAAAGGUCAGCCCCAUCAGGCACCAGAGAAAGAUGCUCUAAACUUCAGCACAUUUGGCUUAUGCUGGAGAUGCUGCUCCUGGUGAAACUCACCUGAAAUGAGCAGGUAGGAUGCCGCAGGCAUUGCUCCAAGUACUUUGCAUGCAUUCAUCGAGAUAAGGACUAUUAUUAUCCCCCCAAAAUAACAAGGAAACGAAGAGAGGUAACUUACUCAAGGUCACUCAGUCAGUAUCAGUCAGUAUCGGAG
rnacentral:lncRNA from 1 species